rnacentral:rRNA from 1 species
UCCAGACUCCUACGGGAGGCAGCAGUGGGGGAUAUUGCACAAUGGGGGAAACCCUGAUGCAGCGACGCCGCGUGAGUGAAGAAGUAUUUCGGUAUGUAAAGCUCUAUCGGCAGGGAAGAAAAAAGACGGUACCUGACUAAGAAGCCCCGGCUAACUACGUGCCAGCAGCCGCGGUAAUACGUAGGGGGCAAGCGUUAUCCGGAUUUACUGGGUGUAAAGGGAGCGUAGACGGCAAUACAAGUCGGAAGUGAAAUACCCGGGCUUAACCUGGGAACUGCUUUGGAAACUGUAUGGCUGGAGUGCUGGAGAGGUAAGCGGAAUUCCUAGUGUAGCGGUGAAAUGCGUAGAUAUUAGGAGGAACACCAGUGGCGAAGGCGGCUUACUGGACAGUAACUGACGUUGAGGCUCGAAAGCGUGGGGAGCAAACAGGAUUAGAUACCCCCGUAAG